AGAAAUUCGUUGAUAAGGAAGAGUAGUUAAAAUUGAUUAUUUAAAGAGAGUUGAGGAUGGUGGAAACUCAACAAUAUAGAUUUUAAUGAAUGGGCCUUGUAGAAGUAAAUCGAAAUCUUUAAUGUAAAGAGAGUAGUAAUUAUCGGAAACCUACCGUUAGAAAGGGAAGGAUAUGUUAGUAUCCUGUAAAAGAGGUGCAUUUUGCACAAUUUAGGUGGUACCGCGAAUAAUACCUUCGUCCUAGUU
rfam:Clostridium tetani E88, complete genome.